UACUCUUUAGUAAAGAUGUUGUCGUUUGGUUUUGAUGUCGUGUAUUCUUUGGCGUUUGGGAGAAAAAUAAUGUUAGGUAAUUAGAUAAAAAUUGUCCACUUUAGCUAGAUAAAACAUUCAUGGGUUGUAGAGUACAAUUCAUUAAUGUUUUGUCUAGUUACGUAGCACUACUCUUGAGAGAAACAUUCUCCAAGCUCGCAACGAUACUAAUUCCGUUAUUUUGGUUGGGAAUGGAGGGGAUGAGUAGCCAUUGCAAAGAAAUUAAGGUGACUCUUCAUUUGUAAUUUUAAUCUUACACAACCUUGUGUGUUUUUGUAAUUUUAAGAUAUUUCAUUAAUACAAUUUUGUCAUGUCACCAUUUUAUUUAUGAAAAUUAUAUUAUAUUGAAUGCAAGACAUAAAAGCUUAUCUGUUUAAGAAACAUGCUCCCUUCUCUCUCUCUCUCUCUCUCUCUCUAUAUAUAUAUAUAUAUAUAUAUAUAUAUAUAUAUAGACACGGAUCGUAAUUGAUAUGAUUAUAUUCUUGAAGAAAAAUCUGCUGAAAAACAGCAAUAUCUAUCACCUUCUAUCUUAUGGAUAAACAUGAAACGAUUACAAAAAGUGCAACUUAGUUCCAAAGGCCAAUUAUCAUGUGUGAUAUUAAAACGUCCCUUCAUUUCAAAAAUUAUGUGUUAAAGUAUUGAAUAUAUAACACUAGUCUUAUCUUUAACAGGUAGGUAAUAUACGUAAUUAUGCCAUUAAGCCAGGGUUGCCUAACUUUAUUAUAACAAGAAACUCACUUAAAAUAUUCCAACUUCAUUUCAUUCCAUAUAUUGAACCCUCAGCCAGAUUCCAGAAAUAUGCCUGCCUGCUUCAAUAACUUUGGACCAGUUGUCCAUAUACUAAUGCUCCUUUAAUUUGCUUGUGCGCACUAGAAUUAAUAUAGCAAAAACAAUUUCCACAUUUUGUAAUUAUGUUAAGCAUUACAACAUUAUGUGAUGUAAAUUGAUUACAUAUCAUAGUCAGGUUCCUAUCGGAAGGACCAUCAUCAGAGCUUUUGGGCAAAGCUAGGAGUAACAUUGUGAGGUCAAUUGAUCGCACUGAUUUUUUUUUAUAUAUAUAAUGUAAUAGAUUUUUUUGUGCCUGUAAUUUAGUAAUUUGAUCCUAUUAAAUUUAUAUAUAUAUGAGGUAAUAUAUUUUUUAUGAGUGUAAUUUAGUAAUUUAAUCAUACUUACCUUUUUUCCUGACUUUGCCACUGGUUUCAGGUACAAUGUAGUUAAAAAUUUAAAUGUAGAGCUUACUUGUAUCCAAGCAACAAGAGUUGAGUUUGAACGAUAAACAAGGACUCGGAAUGAAAUGGAUUGGGCAAACUUGCACAAACUAAUUAUCAUCUUCUUCUCCCCUUCAAAAUUUUCAUUACUCAUCAAGCCUUAUGAGGUCAGAAGAUUAAUGGAGCCUAUAAAUGCAAUGCAGCAUAAGCAAAUCUAUUGCCAGUCAAUAUGUAUAUAGUUUUUUUCUUAUAAAUAAAUUGUGAUCAUCAGUACUGAACUUUACGAUUUAACAAAUUGAGAAAGAACACAAUUAAAUAAUACGUUUUGUAAUAGAAAAAUUGAUACAUUUUAUAUAAGUGGCUGUAGUUUAGCG
rnacentral:lncRNA from 1 species